UAGUAGAAAAUUACGGUAAGGAUCAUUGUUUACCUGUGGUACGUCCCCGGCAGUACGAGGCAUACUUCGGAUCGAUUGGUUUAAAUUACUCAACACGUUCUGAUCAGCUUCGACAUUAUUUGGCACGAGAUUAUUCUGUUUGCUGAAAUGAUAAACGAAUGAAGAGAAACUAGGCUGGGAUACACACCACCAUUAUUUUCGCAUCCAAUGGUGAGAGUUUUUGGUUCAAAUGUGCCAUGUUUCAAAAUACACUUGUACCAGAGCAAGAUCAUAAGUAAUCUUUGUUAUACGUAUGCCAUGUACAAAAGUAUAAUUCCGUUAUAACAACGGAGCGCGUAUUUUCAGCUGAUCUAAGCGAAUCACGAAUACGUGAUAAAAAAAAUGUGACCUUGCUGACCAUGUGAUGAGUGUUGACGUCAACAUGCAAAUCUUACUUAUGAAUUUUAACAUUGUUAUAGCAUUGGAUUGAUUUUAAUUGAUAUUGGGGAGAAUAACUGGAAAUGGAAGAUGGGAAUAAAAAAUAAUUUGUUAAAAUAUCAGACAGUUAAUGAUUGAAGUAGAGGAAGAGAGGAGUUAGCUUUUACUCGAAUACAUGAAAUAUUGUUUAAUGUAAUUACAAUUGCACGUACAAACGUUACAAUACUUAAUACUAUCCAUGCAUCAACGAUAAAAAAUCUCAUGCAAUAUUUACCUGCAGGGGACGUUGAGUGCUUCAGUUCCAUUUUUUUGUAAUUGCUCCUGCCUGUGUGCACGCAGUUUUCUUUCUGCCAGCAGAAAUAAGAACUCAAUUCAAUAAUUAAGCAGAUGCGGACAAGAGGAGAAAAACAAGACUGAUGUAAACUCACUCAAGUAUUUCUUCUUUGGUAGCAAUGUUUCCAUUCACCAUUUUGGUGAUGAUGAGAUUAUGAUGUUCCUCCGAAACUUGUUGCCUGGACACAAGGGGCAACGACUCUGCAGGGUCGGCGUCGGACCCUGCGACCAGCCAAGGAUUAGAUGCAAUUUCUUCAAGUGUAGCUCUUCGCUCUGGUUGUCUCACAAGCAUUCUGGCUAUCAGCUGUUUGCAGCCUUCGGAAACCAGGCGCAUCGUAACUGUCUCCUAGAAGAAUUUCUGGAGCUGAAUAAGCCAGAGAACCACAAGAAGUUUCCAGCUUUUGUCCAGGACAGAAUCUAUUGCUGAAGCCAAAGUCUGUGAGCUUAACCAUUCCCAGUUUUUCAAAAAAUACUACAUUUUCAGGUUUCAGGUCUCUGUGUACGACGUGCAAUCUGUGGCAGUAAGAUAUGGCUCUAACUAUUUGUCGGAAAUAUGUUCUUGCCACCUAGAAACAUAAAAUACCAUCAUACAGAGAACCUGAUAUGCGUAACAAAUGGAUAAACAGAUGGGCAACUGAUAAAGAAAAUCUUACUUCUUGAAAUAAAUGCGACCUAGAAAUUUCGUCGAGCUUGGUUUUAUCGAUGACCUUAACUGCUACUUUUUCACCGGUGAAAACAUGACGGGCAAGUUUGACAACCGCAAAGUGUCCUCGACCAAGGGUCUCCUCCAUAUCAU